rnacentral:rRNA from 1 species
UACGUAGGGUGCGAGCGUUGUCCGGAAUUACUGGGCGUAAAGAGCUCGUAGGUGGUUUGUCGCGUUGUUCGUGAAAACCGGGGGCUUAACCCUCGGCGUGCGGGCGAUACGGGCAGACUUGAGUACUGCAGGGGAGACUGGAAUUCCUGGUGUAGCGGUGGAAUGCGCAGAUAUCAGGAGGAACACCGGUGGCGAAGGCGGGUCUCUGGGCGGUAACUGACGCUGAGGAGCGAAAGCGUGGGGAGCGAACAGG